UGAGGGACGUCUGCCUGGGUGUCACG
rnacentral:rRNA from 1 species